GCGCCCGUAGCUCAACUGGAUAGAGCGUUGCCCUCCGAAGGCGAAGGUUGGGGGUUCGAAUCCCUCCGGGCGCGCCA
rnacentral:tRNA from 2 species